rnacentral:rRNA from 1 species
GACGAACGCUGGCGGCGUGCUUAACACAUGCAAGUCGAACGGAAAGGCCCUGCUUUUGUGGGGUACUCGAGUGGCGAACGGGUGAGUAACACGUGAGUAACCUGCCCUUGACUUUGGGAUAACUUCAGGAAACUGGGGCUAAUACCGGAUAGGAGCUCCUGCUGCAUGGUGGGGGUUGGAAAGUUUCGGCGGUUGGGGAUGGACUCGCGGCUUAUCAGCUUGUUGGUGGAGUAGUGGCUUACCAAGGCUUUGACGGGUAGCCGGCCUGAGAGGGUGACCGGCCACAUUGGGACUGAGAUACGGCCCAGACUCCUACGGGAGGCAGCAGUGGGGAAUAUUGCACAAUGGGCGGAAGCCUGAUGCAGCAACGCCGCGUGCGGGAUGACGGCCUUCGGGUUGUAAACCGCUUUCGCCUGUGACGAAGCGUGAGUGACGGUAAUGGGUAAAGAAGCACCGGCUAACUACGUG